ACUAUGAUUCCAUGGAUGUCGUUGGCAAGUUUCAUUCACCGAUCUCACAGUUCUUCUGAAGACAAUGCAUAGAAGUCAUCCAAUUCAAAAGACUUCUUAUCCAUGGCUGAAUAGGGCAUAACCAAGAUGUGUCUUGCAGGAAAUUGAGGUUGCUUUGGAGUCAAAUGAUUGUUAAAUUUUAAGUUCAAAUUAGUCCACGAACCAACAGUUUUUCCUAAAGUAGACAAUAAAGCUUGUGAGUAAGCGGAAACUUAUGUGGGUA